AUGGGGCAGAGGGCUUGGUGUGGAUGCCCAACUGGCCUCCACCUGUGUGACCUGGGAGCAGGCAGCCGCGCAGCCGGGCCCUUGGCCCUGCAGGUGUGUGUGCAUGUAUGCACACAUGCGUGGCUGCUUCUCUUCCUGGUGGAUUCCUCGUGGACGGGGGAGACGGCCCUGCAUGGGGGUUAUUGGCCCCCAUUCUCCAGGGCAGAUUGGGGACUACCCACACCAAGAAGGCCAAGGUCAAGGGGCAGAGGGCAGCCAAAACUCGGGUGUGCCCCUCCCGUCCCCCCUGGCAGUGGGGAUCAGGUGGGCCUGGGCUCCACAUCCUUUAUGGCCGGUGGCCACACGUCCUUCUGCAAACCGUGGGACAAAUGCGUCCUGUGUUGCAUGUAUUUAAUAGGCUGGCACAGAGGGGCCCGUGCCGUCGGGGAGCCGGUCUCCCGGUACUCCGCCACUCCCCAGCUCUGCGGCCUGACUUCUUGGCGUUCAAACGCUCCCUCUGUGACACGGGAGGUGGGACAGGUCUGUGCUCCCUGGGGUCUGCUGCAGGAAACGAAGCCGCUCAGGGACCGAGGGGCUCGGUGGAUGUUAGUCACGACCCUGACCCCGGGAAACAACAACGACGGCAGCAAUGGAGCACCGACUGGGGCCAGGCCGCAGGCAGGCGCAGAGCAGCAAGAGACAGAGCAGGAGUUGGGUGAGGUGCAGUUUAGGGUGACAUGCUGGCUGCCCACCACGCACAGCGCCCGGCUUGGUGACAGGUCCUUCGUAAAGGCAGCGUCCCCCUCCAGCCCCCAACCCGGCUCUGAGGAACCGCCCAGGCCCUCCCGGCUCCUCCCUGGCAGGGUCACAGGCAGUGGGCAGGAGGGAACCAGCUGCACGGGGGCCCCUCUCUCCGCCUAUUUGGAGUGCCUCACUCACCUUAAUUACGGGCCUGCGGGUACGUCGGGGCGCGCCCGGGACUCCCGAGAUAGCCCAGAAGCCCCGGCUCCGGCUCCGGGGGCGGCCGGACAUCCCGGGCAGCCAGGUGCACCUUCACCCCCCAUCAGCGCCUCCCCACCUGGAGACCCCGCAGCGCCCCCUUCCUCCGCGGGGCCCUCUGGCCGGUCUCGGGGCGCCCGCAGCCCCCAGGGGACGCGCACCCCCGCAGCCCGCGGCCGGAGUCCUGGGGGGGGGGGCGGGUCUCUCCCUCCCGCACACAGCCGGGCGUCGGUGGGGGGACCGCGCCUCGAUCUCCCGGCCUGGGCGGGGAUGCCCGGCAGAGCCCGGAACGCCGCGCCCGCGCGCUCGGGCACGGCCGCCCACGCCUCCCGACUGGAGUGUAUAUUUAGCCUCAUUAUCAAUGUUUGCAGUGAACCGUGUGAACCGCCUAAUAGCGGCUGGAAGUGA
rnacentral:lncRNA from 1 species